UGAAUUGAAAAUCUGAUAGGCG
rnacentral:siRNA from 1 species